GACGAACCGUGCGAACGUUAUUCGGAAUCAUUGGGCUUAAAGGGCGCGUAGGCUGGCUGCCGCGUCGGGGCUGAAAGCCCCCGGCUCAACCGGGGAAUCGGCCUCGAGACGGGCAGCCUGGAGGCGAGGAGGGGGACCUGGGAACGUCCGGUGGAGCGGUGAAAUGCGUUGAGAUCGGACGGAACACCGACGGCGGAAGCAGGGUCCUGGACUCGUUCUGACGCUGAGGCGCGAAAGCCAGGGGAGCGAACGGG
rnacentral:rRNA from 1 species